GUCUAUGGCUAUACCUCUCUGAAUAUACCCAGUUUUAUCUGGUCUUGGGAGCAAAGCAAAAUCUUGGGCCUGUCAUCAUGUCAUUGAAAGGCCACUUGGAACUACCAGGUGCUAUAGGCA
rnacentral:rRNA from 1 species